rnacentral:lncRNA from 1 species
CGCACCAAACCCCCCGGGUACCACGCGCGGGCGGCCAGGGGCGGCGUCGCAAGAUGGCGGCGGCGUCCACGAGGAGGCCGCUGCGCCCGCCGUGCGACGACCGUGGACGACCUCGACGACGCUCUCCUCACGCGCGUCCUCGUCCGCCUCGCGUCGCCGCACUGGUUCAUCCGCGCGGCGGCAACCUGCAAGCGGUGGCGCCGCAUCAUCGGCGCCGGCGGCGGCUCCCCCUGCCGUGCGGUCGAGUUCCACCGCCGCGGCCGCAACCCCAUCGUCGGCCACUACUACUACCCCGGACGCGGCAGCGGCGGCGCACCGGAUGCCCGUACCCACUCUCAAGGUGGGCCCUGGCCCUGCGACCGCCCACGGAGCCGCUGGCGUCGCGCGGGCAGGGCCACCGGCGUGCACAUCUCCGGCGCGGAGUCCGUCAACUUCGUGGGGCGUGCAUCGGGCAGCUUCUACUGGCGGAUGGACGACGACGACGACCGCAUGCUUGUUCAUAGUUGUUCCACUUACAGUUACAGCACGUUCUCGCGGGUGGCGCUUCCGGAGGUGAUGAAGGGCGCCCGGCGGCGCGACGACGGCACGUCGUCGGCGUUCCGGGUCGUCGCCGGCGCCGAUGGCGACGUGCGCAUUGUCUGGUUGAUGAGCGGCGUCCUCUCGGUCUUCGCCCGUCGCAGGGAGCAGUGGUGGAUGGAGAAGCGCCUCCAGCUACCGGCGCACACUGCGCCGGAGAGCUUCAUCAUCGGCGGUAAUAAUGUGGUGAUCGCCGACGCCGGAGCAGGACGCCUCCUCCUGGCGCCGGCGGAGGAGGACAAGCGGCGGCGGGUGAUCUCCGUCGAGCUCGCCACCAUGAAGAUCGAUGAGCCCAAGCACCACGCCGGUGGUGUAGUGACGUAUCCGUACGAGCUGCCAUGGCCGGUGACCUUGAAGGCGUGUUUCUUGAGCAAAUGGAGCCGUUAUGAAGGAUGGGGGUGCGUUUGA